rnacentral:misc_RNA from 1 species
GGAGGGAUCAUUAGCUGUGUCUCAGUUUAAAAAAACCAUCGUACGAAAGUACGGGAAUGGGCCUAAAUCUAACACGUUGGGGCCUUAAAUACUAGGGGGGGUUCCUUCGGGGGCUCUCUGGUUAGGGGUGGUACCCUCGAGGCGGUACGUACAGGCCUUUCCUAACCGACCCCUAAUGGCUCGAGCGCAAGCUCCCGACAUUAGGUUUAUCCAAAAAAAAGCUUAACUCAAGGGUUGGUCUUAUUCGUUUGAGGCCACCCCUUUUGAGUCAAGCGGCUUCUCCAUUGGGGUAGAACCUUAAUGGAGAGGUUGUCCGCUCCCAACUUAGUCUCAACUCCUCACGGACACCAGACUAUUAUUGGGUUUAACAACUGUCAGCAGUGGAUAUCUUGGCUCCCACAACGAUGAAGAGCGCAGUAAAAUGCGAAACACAAUGUGAAUUGCAGAGCUACGCGAAUCAUCUAGGUCUUGAACGCAUCUUGCACCUGGAUCUUUGGAUCCAGGUCGGUCCAACUGAGCGCCGCUCCCCCCCCCAUCGUACGAAAAGUACGGGAAUGGGCCUAAAUCUAACACGUUAGGGCCUUAAAUACUAGUCGGAUUGCCAUAACGAGUGGUCUGACCAAUGCUUCUGCGUGCAUGUCACUCUUAAGUAUGUCUUACCUCGUAGUUAUGACAUGAUGAUCAACAAGAGGUAAAAGCCUCCCAAAAAAGUCGAGGGUCGAAUCGUACUUCCAUGGUCCUGCUUUUUUGCGGGACCCCGGAAGUGCCCUAUUAGUCUUUAUCGACUCAGGUCGAUAAAAAAAAACUUAGGGUAGAUUUGCUCACGCACUCGGCCUCAGUUUGGAUCAGUCUACCCACUGAACUUAAGCAUAUCAAUAUGUGGAGGAAAAGAAACCAACAGGGAUUCCCUUAGUAAGGGCGACUGAACCGGGAACAGCUCAAACUUGAAAUCGGCAGGGCUAACACCUCUGUCCGAAUUGUAGUUUUGCGAGUAGCUUCGGAGGUGGACUGGGUCUAAGUCUCCUGGAAUGGAGCGCCAUAGAAGGUAAGAGCCCUGUGAGGCCUGGCACCCGCUUCCAUAUGUUGCUACUUCGAGGAGUCACACUAUUUGAGAGUAUAGUGUAAAGUAGGUGGUAAGCUCCAUCUAAAGCUAAAUAUCAGUGGGAGACCGAUAGCGAACAAGUACCGCGAGGGAAAGAUCAAAAGAACUCUGGAAAGAGAGUUAAAAGUGCUUGAAACUGCUGACAGCGAAGCGAUUGCGGCCAUCACCCUAUGUGGGCCCUGCAAAUCAGCCAUUAGGGGCAGUGAAGGGGAAGACGUAGUAGGUGCCGCAAGGUACCGCUUGUCCAACUGGAGCUUCCGACGUGGUGCACUUUGCAGAUGCCUUCGGGCAGCAUCGGUGAUUAGUGUCUGAGAAGGGGUUGGGGAGGGUACUAGGCGCAAGCCUGGGAGCUAACCAACUCUGGACCUAUCGCGAGUCACUGACGGACCUUCGGGUUCAUGCUCCCCUCCGCAAUGCGAAGCAUGUCUUUGUGUUGGUGCCUAUUAGUCGAGGCAACUCGGCUGGUGGGUUACUGAUGCUCUGAUGUGUUAGCGUUUAGGGGCGCACGAUGCUGAAUGUGAGGGCACCAACCGUCCCGUCUUGAAACACGGACCAAGGAGUGUAGAGUGUAUGCGAGUCUAAGGGGCCUGAAACCCUGGAGGCGAAGCGAAAGCAAUUGUGUGAUGGGUGGUUUACCGCCUUGCAACACAUUUCGACCGUGACACGUAGUGGAGCGGACCGAAAAUGAGCAUACACUCUACGACCCGAAAGACAGCGAACUAUACCUGCAUAGGGUGAAGCCAGAAGAAAUUCUGGUGGAGGCCCGUAGCGGUUCUGACGUGCAAAUCGAUCGUCAAAUGUAGGUAUAGCGGCGAAAGACUAAUCGAGCUGUCUAGUAGCUGGUUCCCCC